GAUAGAUUGGACACUAUCUCCUCCCUUGUUCCUAAGUACUGCAGGAGAUCUUUCAGCCAUGCUUUUCACAGAUGGUUUCUAGUGGUGUCUUCUCAUUUUCUAGGUGCCUGAUUUCCAAGCCCAGUGGUUCGGUUUGCAGAAGUGCUGAGCUCUCAGCCUCCACUGAGUCAGGGAGAGAUAUGCUUUGAAACCCAAACACCUUAAACAAAGAGGAAACUGGAACUGGGGCCAGUAAACAGCACGUCCAAAAGGAAGAGAGUCCUGGGAGGCAAGGAAAAUCAAAGUUGAUUAUAGGAGGAACUCAGAUGGCCUGAUGGGAUACUUGGCUCUCAUGUGGCUGAUGCUGGAGUACAUGGAGAUCAUCCUGAGCAAACUGUCCUGUGUUAUUUGGAAGGUGUGGAGCACCUGUGAGUACUGGUAGAUGGCAAGCUGGACAUAAAAACAGCUUGGUCAGCAGGGCAAGGGAGGUGAUCCUGCCCCUCUGCUCUGUGUUUGUG
ensembl:lncRNA